CUGCAAUGCAAUGAUGACAAAAUACUAUACCCAGCUCUUUGAGAUCUCCCAAUGAUCCAGGAAAAUAAGUAUGUUCAAUUUGUCUGAGCUUUUGG
rnacentral:snoRNA from 1 species